rnacentral:rRNA from 1 species
GAUCCUGGCUCAGGAUGAACGCUAGCUACAGGCUUAACACAUGCAAGUCGAGGGGCAGCAUGGUCUUAGCUUGCUAAGACCGAUGGCGACCGGCGCACGGGUGAGUAACGCGUAUCCAACCUGCCUUACACUCUUGGACAGCCUUCUGAAAGGGAGAUUAAUACAAGAUGUUAUCAUGAGUAAGCAUUUUCGCAUGAUUAAAGGUUUACCGGUGUAAGAUGGGGAUGCGUUCCUA